UACGUAGGGUGCAAGCGUUAAUCGGAAUUACUGGGCGUAAAGCGUGCGCAGGCGGUUUUGUAAGUCUGACGUGAAAGCCCCGGGCUCAACCUGGGAAUUGCGUUGGAGACUGCAAGGCUUGAAUCUGGCAGAGGGGGGUAGAAUUCCACGUGUAGCAGUGAAAUGCGUGGAGAUGUGGAGGAACACCGAUGGCGAAGGCAGCCCCCUGGGUCAAGAUUGACGCUCAUGCACGAAAGCGUGGGGAGCAAACAGG
rnacentral:rRNA from 1 species